UACGUAGGGUGCGAGCGUUAAUCGGAAUUACUGGGCGUAAAGGGUGCGUAGGCGGCGCGGUAAGUCGGGUGUGAAAUCUUGGAGCUUAACUCCGAAACUGCAUUCGAUACUGCCGUGCUUGAGGACUGGAGAGGAGACUGGAAUUUACGGUGUAGCGGUGAAAUGCGUAGAUAUCGUAAGGAAGACCAGUGGCGAAGGCGGGUCUCUGGACAGUUCCUGACACUGAGACACGAAGGCCAGGGGAGCAAACGGG
rnacentral:rRNA from 1 species